rnacentral:rRNA from 1 species
AGUGAACGCUGGCGGCGUGCCUAAUACAUGCAAGUCGAACGAAGUGGCGAACGGGUGAGUAAUACGUGAGUAACCUGCCCUCCUUUUUGUGAUAAGCCUUGGAAACGGGGUCUAAUACCGAAUAAAGGGGGAUGGGCUCGCGGCCUAUCAGCUUGUUGGUGGGGUGAGGGCCUACCAAGGCGGUGACGGGUAGCCGGCCUGGGAGGGUGACCGGCCACAUUGGGACUGAGGUACGGCCCAGACUCCUACGGGAGGCAGCAGUGGGGGAUAUUGCACAAUGGGCGAAAGCCUGAUGCAGCGACGCCGCGUGGGGGAUGAAGGCUUUCGGGUUGUAAACCGCUUUCAGCCAUGACGCGGUAGUGGCAGAAGAAGCACCGGCUAACUACGUGCCAGCAGCCGCGGUAAUAC